ensembl:lncRNA
GUGCGUGCCACCACACCUGGCUCCACUUUGGGUAUUCCUUAGGCCAGGUACAGGCUGGUUGUGUGUGAGACUCACUGUGGGACCUCACUCCGGCUGGGGAUCGCCCUGUCCUCUGCCUUAUGCAUCUAGAACUGGGGAGAGUUCCCAUGUGAGAGGAGAGCAGCGUGCCCUGCGCUUCUCCCGCCCAGGCCCUGGACUCCAGACUUUUUGGGGCGCUCUGGUCCCUUUCUCCCCUGCUGUCUGGGGUCCUGGGCCGCUCACCUGGAGACGUAUGCAAGGGUUUCGGGUGUGGGCGUGUGGGAAUUCUUGGGUAGAGCAGGAUGCGCCAUGCUGGGCACAGCUGAGUCAUACUCCAGUGGCGCCUUGCCCCAGGGUGCUGGGGCUGGCGCCACCCUGGGUGUGGUCACUGUGCUGUGGCCCGCGGCUGGGUGGUCUGGGAUGUGGCAGGGUGGUGAGGGGCAGCAAAGCAGCUUCUGAGAUGCUAAUUCUUGCCAUCCACAACUAUGGGCAGAUAACCUCCAUAAUGCCGUGGGGAGUCCAGGGACAUCGAGCCACGCGUUUGGGGAAUUUUGGGGUGUCAUGAAAAGAGGACAGAGCCCAUUAGAAAGCAGAUACAGCUGGACAUGGUGGUGCUCACCUGUCAUCCCAGCACUCUGGGAGGCUGAGGCAGGAGGAUCACAAGUUUGAGCUCAGCCUGGGCAACUUAGCGAGACCUUGCCUCAAAAUAAAAAAUAAAGGCCUGGGGAUGGAGCACAAUGUGAAGGCCCCUGGUUCAAACCCUAGUCUCUAAAAAAAAAAAAAAAAGAAGAAGCCAUUUACUCUCUUCUAGGCUUGUAGCCCCCAAACUCCAGGCUAGGGUUUAGAAAUAGACUUCAGUGGCAGGUAGAGGUGGGUACACAAUGGUGGGGUGUACCCCUCAGGGAAGGGCUUCCUGGGUGGAUAUGGGGGUGCCCCUCCAGGCUCUGUGAUUGGCCAGGCCAUGCCUUUGAUCUCCCUAUUUAUAACAGAUGAUUCAGUGUGCUCUUACCCAUCCUGAGCCUGCCCCCAGGGCCAGCCCUGGGUGGGCCAUGGGACUCCCACUUGCAAGGGUGCCAACCCUCGGGACUGCCCAACCUCGUGGGGACAGACCUUAUUGUUCCUGCCGGGGUAACUGGGGUGGAGGGUAGGGGGACUGGCGGUCAGGCGGCGCUGGGCUGGGAAGCCCCGGUUGGCGGCUGGCUCGGGGCCCGGCCCACCGAGCUUCUGUUAAGAGUCUGGCCCAUUAGGCAAAGCGCUAGUGACAGGCUGGGCGGCGGCGGGCAGGGCGGGGCCAGCAGUCCUUGGUAUUUUCCGAUCCCAGCUGCUCUGUGAGGGUGGAAAGUAUUUGGGGAUCAGGCUUGGAGGCGGCAGCGGCGGUGGAGUCCCGGCGGAAGCCGUCCCUGAUGCAUUCCUGGGGCACGGGGCCCUGUGUGUGUCUGGUGCCAGCCUCUGGCCCCGCCCAGUGCCUCCCACCCUUUGCCAUGGCCGGCUGGGGUUCCUGGGGAUGGGAUUUGCUGUCUCACAAAUCACAUUGCCAGGGAUUUCCAACCGACCCUGAGCUCUGCCUCCGGGCCCACCACUGCCACUGAGGAUGCCUGUCCAUGCCUGGGGACGGGGUGUCGGAGAGGCCCUGCCACCGCCACCACCACUGCUGUAGCCGUCGCCAGGCCUGAGGAGCAGGGCUUAGCUGCUUGUGAGCAGAGUCCGCACCAAGUCGUGUUCACAGUGGCUAAGUUCCGUCCCCUGGGCCCCGCCUCCACCGCCCCACCUUUCUGCUGGUUGCCCAGUUCCCCGGGCUCUGCCUCCCGUGCCUACUGAGCUGAAACACAGUUGAUUUGUGCAGACUGGCUCAGUUCAGCAGGAACAGGGGUCAAGCCCCCUGGAGCCUGGAGCGCACAGCCUGGCUGUCCUGACACGGCGACCAGACAGGCGCAGAUGUGUCUGAAGGAGGGGACACGGGAGGACGGGGUGAGAGGGCUGGCCUGGGUCUAGGCAUCUGCUGCAGGCCACCUCUCUUUUUUGUUUUUUGAUACCAUGGAUGGAACUCGGGUCCUUGCACUUUCGCAGCAGGCAGUGAAACCACUGAGCUAAAUCCCCAGCCCAAGGCCACCUCUCUUGGUCUGCACAGAGGGACCCUGUUGUCCCAACAUGGCCAUACCUCGAACAGGCUGAGCCGUUGUCCCAGGGUAGACAGGACAGAGGGUCCUUCCUUAAGCCAGCUGUGCUUCUCUGGGCCUAGCACCUCAGCUCCUCCCUGUUUUGAUUCGUGAGAUUGAGUCUCCCUGUGUAAUCCAGGCUGGCUUUGAAUUAUGUAGCCAGGCAGUCCUCCUGCCUCAGCUUCCUGAGUGCUGGGAUGACAUGUGUGUGUCACCAUGCCUGGCCCUGCCCCUCCUGUCCUAAGCCUAGCGGGGAGUGCUGAACCUUCCCAGCUGCCUGUUACCCAAGAGGAAGCUGCCUUAGGCCCCCUGACCGUUAAGUGCCAACUCACAGCUUCUGGAACUAGCUGGCCCGACUUGGCCGAGUGAGUGUGCCUGGGCCCCUCUCCCUGGCCCUGAGGGUUCUUAAUGACACCCACUCCACGUGGGGUAGGGAACAGUUCCAUGCGGCCCCAAGAGGGACAUGAUCAGGCCUCCCCUGUCCUGGGGUUGAGGUCAUCCUGUCCUGCUCUCCUUGGUGGUCCUGGGCUUGGAAGAGGUGAAUUGUGCCACUGUCCCCAAGUCAGAUGGGAGGAAGCUCUUUGGGCCUGGAGGGAGGGUCCAGUGAAAUGCCCAGACUGUCAGGGCUGGCCUGGUGUUGCCCAGGUAGGGGCAGACAGGAGCUUGGGUGGAGGGAGGGCAGCAUUUGUAUUGUGCCCCGCAUGUGAUGCCCAGUGAAAUAAAAGUUGUCCCAGC